GAAACAUUGUUUCUUAAUUCAUACUUGUUAUAUGCAUCCGUUAUAUUUAGGUGAUAAUUUACUUCCACUAUUAUCAUCAUUUACCAAACAAAUGUUAUUAUCUGUUGUUACUUUGGUAUCUGUGUCUCAUCGAUUCUCGUCUGUGAUUUAAACAUAAAGUUAAUUUAAUUUUAGGCUUUAGGUUACUGAUUGCUUCAUAGUGUAUAUCUUUUUUACAACUAUCCAUUUUGAAUAUAUUUGUCAUGCAUGACUCAUGUGGCUUCUUGGCUUAAUUUCUCAAUUUAUUAUUUUUAGUUUAAUGAUAUCAUUUUGUCCCAUUUGGGUUUUGUGUUGGUUGGACUCUAUAUUGCUUCAGUCAUGUACUUCAGUGAAGUUACCGGCAACCUGGGCACUUGUCUAGGUUCCCAGGCGAGGCGUGGCCUGAGCGCCCACCUUUUGGGCUGGGUGGUCUUCGCAGCCCGAGCACUGACCUGGGCCCAAGCACUAGGUGGGCUAGGCGCCUGCUUGGUUCAACUCAUACUAGGUCGAGCCUGAGUUGAACCAAAAUGUAGAACCAAUCACUCUCUGGUUCGAUUGAACCAGGUAAUCUCAUGCUCGAACACUUCGAAUGCCCCUGCAUGAGCUGUGCCCUAAAUGCAGAAUUGAGUCUUUCCCCAGCAUUUUUUGCAUGGUGGCAAACUUCCCCCCAAUCAGCGAACGACGGCAACAGUGAUAGCGACAUCUUCCUCUAGCGGUAGCAGCAACGACGUCUUCCUACAGCAACAGUAGCAACCUCUUCCCCUAAGGCAGCGUCUUCCUUUGAUGGUGUCUUCAUCCAGCAAUAGUGGCGACAACGGCAUCUUCCCUCACAGUAUAUCUCUCUCUUUCUCCUCCUCAUUCCUCCCUCCUACCUCUUCCCCGUUAACUGUAGCCCCCUGUCCGCCCUGCCUUCUCAUAGGCUCAUAGCCCCUCUUCCCUUAUUGCCGCACCUCUUCCCCUGUUGUUGCAGCUCGCCCCCCUCCCUGAACCAGAGCUUUCAUCCCUCUUCCCGUCUCUCUUCCCUGAACUGCACCUCUUUCCUUGUUGCUGCAGCCCCACUCCCUGGACCACAGUCCUCUUCCCUCUUCCCCUAUUGCUGCAGCUCCCCUCUUCCCCGGACCACAGCUCUCUUCCCUCUUCCUUUGUUUCUGCACCUCUUCCUUUGUUGCGACAGCUCCCUUCUUCCCUCUUCCAUCUUCCCUCUUCUCUUCACUCUUCCCCUGCUGUCAUAGCUCCCCUAUCCAACAGUCACCCCUGUCGUCGCAGCUCCCCGAUUCAACUUUGAUGUGUUAUUUUAGUUUUAGUUUAUUUUUUAUUAAUCAUGAUCUAUAAUUCUUAAAUUAUAAUAUUCGGGAGCAACUUGCUUUGCUCGGGCCAGCGCCUUGGGCAUUUUGGGACUAUGGCACCUUUUGGCACCUAGCGCUUUGGACAAUAUUGAUGUACUUUGAUAUGAUGACUCUAUAUUGCUUCAUUCAUUUCAUGUGCUUUUAUAGGAUUUAGUGUCUCCUAUUGGUUACCUUCUUUUGGAGGGAAGGACAUCUCCUAGAGAGAAUUGAGGAGAAAGAGAAAACAAGAGGAACAACAAAGGAAAUUUGAUAGCUUAACUUGUGUUGCCUCUGGGGCUUAGAAGAUCUUUACUUAUACUCUCUCUCUCUCUCUCUCUCUCUCUCUCUCUCUCUAUCUAUCUAUCUAUCUAUCUAUCUAAAGCAACAUGGGUUUGAACAUGAGCUUAAAUACUCAUAAGAAAAGUUUAUUAAGCAUUCCUCAAUAUUCCUCUUAAGCAACACUCUAGAACUCUUAAAUUUGUGGAUUAGACCCUGAAAUUUGUUUUUCUUUAUUGUCAAGAUCUAAAAGGGAGUAAUAAGUUGUUUUUCUUUAUUGAUUAUGGCUUCUAGGGAAAAAAAGAUGUAAAUUCAGAAAACAUAUCGUUUAUGUCUUAGCUUUAUCAGAGGUAUAUCUUCAUAAUAUUUCUUAUUGUUGCAAGAACCAUAUGCGCUAUGCUUUGGGCUUUCAGGAACUAAUGUACAAAUACAAGAACUAAGAAAUUCACAUUUGUUGGCAUGAUAGCAGAAAACCAAUGUGUGAAGUAGGAUUAUAGAGCAAUCAGCUUUUGCCUUGUGUUGACAAAUAUGUCAUCAAUGAAAACCCUGUUGUUGCUUUUAGUCAUAGAUGACCUGUAGUUGUUUAAAUUAUUCUGACCAACAGUUCAAAUUAGCCAAGUUGAAUUAUUUAUCCUUAUGUUUCAAUUGUUA
rnacentral:lncRNA from 1 species